rnacentral:rRNA from 1 species
UACGGAGGGUGCGAGCGUUGUCCGGAUUUAUUGGGCUUAAAGGGUGCGUAGGCGGCUGUCUAAGUCCGGGGUGAAAGCCCGGUGCUCAACAACGGAACGGCCUUGGAUACUGGGCAGCUUGAGUACAGACGAGGUUGGCGGAAUGGACCGUGUAGCGGUGAAAUUCAUAGAUAUUGUCCAGAACCCCGGUUGCGAAGGCAGCUGACUAGGCCGAUACUGACGCUGAGGUACGAAAGCGUGGGGAGCGAACAGG